CUGCUUUAGCAGCAUACGCACAAAAAUUAAAAUACUAUAGAGAAGAUUAGCAUGAGCCAUGCAAAAGGAAUGAAACACAAAUUCAUGAAGCAUUCCAUUAUUUU